rnacentral:sRNA from 2 species
ACUCAACACUAAUUUGUUUAAAAAGGGUGAGUUUAGAUUGUAAAAGCAGGCCUUCUCGUAAAGGAUCCUUGAGCAGUCUGUUAGCCCUAAACCUGUUUAUAGGAGUUU